GACGAACGCUGGCGGCGUGCUUAACACAUGCAAGUCGAACGGAAGGGCCCUGCUUUUGUGGGGUGCUCGAGUGGCGAACGGGUGAGUAACACGUGGGUUAUCUGCCCUCAACUUUGGGAUAAGCCUGGGAAACUGGGUCUAAUACCGGAUAUGAUCAACUGUCGCAUGGUGGUUGGUGGAAAGCUUUUGCGGUUGAGGAUGGGCCCGCGGCCUAUCAGCUUGUUGGUGGGGUAAUGGCCUACCAAGGCGACGACGGGUAGCCGACCUGAGAGGGUGAUCGGCCACACUGGGACUGAGACACGGCCCAGACUCCUACGGGAGGCAGCAGUGGGGAAUAUUGCACAAUGGGCGCAAGCCUGAUGCAGCGACGCCGCGUGAGGGAUGACGGCCUUCGGGUUGUAAACCUCUUUCACCAGGGACGAAGCGUGAGUGACGGUACCUGGAGAAGAAGCACCGGCCAACUACGUG
rnacentral:rRNA from 1 species